UGCUGGAGCUUUUUGUUUGCCUGUGACUGGAGUGUCAGAUUUCUAUUCGGGGGUUGCAGCUUUCCUGUGCUGGAGAAACCACUUCACACCUGCAGAGGUGGACCGUGAUAUGAUGGUGACCCAGGCUGCCACCUUUGGUCUUGUGAGGAAGCAAAGCUCAGGAAGAAGGAAUCCCUGCAGUCCUGUUCUUUUAGCUCCAAGCCUGCUCAGCUUUAAUCACAGAGGAAGCAGCAGACAGUUUGAGAGGUUUGGGCUCACAGAUGGUGA